rnacentral:rRNA from 1 species
AGAGUUUGAUCCUGGCUCAGGACGAACGCUGGCGGCGUGCUUAACACAUGCAAGUCGAGCGAGCUGAUCCCUUCGGGGUGAAGCUAGGCGGCGGACGGGUGAGUAACACGUGGGCAACCUGCCUCAUAGAGGGGAAUAGCCUCCCGAAAGGGAGAUUAAUACCGCAUAAGAUUGUAAUUCCGCAUGGUAAUAGCAAUUAAAGGAGCAAUCCGCUAUGAGAUGGGCCCGCGGCGCAUUAGCUAGUUGGUGAGGUAACGGCUCACCAAGGCGACGAUGCGUAGCCGACCUGAGAGGGUGAUCGGCCACAUUGGGACUGAGACACGGCCCAGACUUCCUACGGGAGGCAUCAAAGUGGGGAAUAUUGCACAAUGGGGGAAACCCUGCAUGCAGCAACGCCGCGUGAGUGAUGACGGCCUUCGGGUUGUAAAGUUCUGUCUUCAGGGUACGAUAAUGACGGUACCUGAGGAGGAAGCCACGGCCUAACUACGUGCCAGCAGCCGCGGU